CUCAGAACGAACGCUGGCGGCAAGCCUAACACAUGCAAGUCGAACGGACAAUUAUUUAUAGCCUCUGGCUAUAGGAAAUUGUUAGUGGCAGACGGGUGAGUAAUGCGUAGGAAUCUACCUAGUAGGACGGAAUAUCCAUUAGAAAUGGUGGGUAAGACUGUAAAAUCCCCGAGGGGGAAAGAAUUGUCGCUAUUAGAUGAGACUACGUUAGAAUAGCUAGUUGGUGAGGUAAUGGCUUACCAAGGCUAUGAUCUAUAGCUGGUCUGAGAGCACGAUCAGCCACACUGAAACUGAGAUACGGUCCAGACUCCUACGGGAGGAAGCAGUGGGGAAUAUUGGACAAUGGGCGAAAGCCUGAUCCAGCUGGGCCGGGUGAGAGAAGAAGGCCUUCGGGUUGUAAAACUCUUUCAAUAGGGAAGAUUAUGAUGGUACCUAUAGAAGAAGGCCCGGCAAACUCUGUGCCAGCAGCCGCGGUA
rnacentral:rRNA from 1 species